rnacentral:rRNA from 1 species
AACAGUAGCAGUUCGCUACUAGAUGACGAGUGGCGCACGGGUGCGUAACGCGUAUGCAACCUGCCUUUUACAGGGGGAUAGCCCGGAGAAAUUCGGAUUAAUACCCCAUAGUUUCCYUGAAUCGCAUGGUUUUAGGAUUAAAGUUUCGGCGGUAAAAGAUGGGCAUGCGUGCAUUAGCUAGUUGGUAGGUAACGGCUACCAAGGCGACGAUGCUAGGGGUUCUGAGAGGAUGAUCCCCCACACUGGUACUGAGACACGGGCCAGACUCCUACGGGAGGCAGCAGUGAGGAAUAUUGGUCAAUGGGCGCAAGCCUGAACCAGCCAUGUCGCGUGCAGGAAGACGGCCCUAUGGGUUGUAAACUGCUUUUGUAUGGGAAGAAAGUUAGCUACGAGUAGCUAUUUGCCGGUACCAUACGAAUAAGGAUCGGCUAACUCCGUGCCAGCAGCCGCGGUAAUACGGAGGAUCCGAGCGUUAUCCGGAUUUAUUGGGUUUAAAGGGUGCGUAGGCGGACUUGUAAGUCAGUGGUGAAAUACUGCAGCUUAACUGUAGAAUUGCCGUUGAUACUGCAAGUCUUGAGUACAGUUGAGGUAGGCGGAAUGUGGUGUGUAGCGGUGAAAUGCAUAGAUAUACCACAGAACRCCGAUUGCGAAGGCAGCUUACUAAAGUGUCACUGACGCUGAUGCACGAAAGCGUGGGUAUCAAACAGGAUUAGAUACCCUGGUAGUCCACGCUGUAAACGAUGAUUACUGGUUGUUAGCGAUAUACCGUUAGUGACUGAGCGAAAGCAUUAAGUAAUCCACCUGGGGAGUACGUCGGCAACGAUGAAACUCAAAGGAAUUGACGGGGGCCCGCACAAGCGGAGGAACAUGUGGUUUAAUUCGAUGAUACGCGAGGAACCUUACCUGGGUUUAAAUGGGAAGUGACAGACUUGGAAACAGGUUUU